rnacentral:lncRNA from 10 species
GAGAUCAGUUGCCUCUGCCCUGAGAUCUGCUGGACGCGGUUCCAACUGGCCUCUUUUCAGGAUUCCUCCUUACAGCCUGAUGAGAAUGAAUAGGAGAUAAAGGACAAGGAGGAAAGAUCUGGUAGCCUGGCAAGUGAGAGAUGGAAAAAUGGGGGGACAAAUGAUGGUUUCCAAAAGAAGAGAAUCUUUAAACGACGUGCAUUUUAAGUGAAGAGUUCUGGAAGUUUCAUCCCUAUAAAGCUGUAGGGACGUCUACUCUAGAGUGAAGUUUUAUGGCAGCAGUCACAGGGAGAUACGCAAAGAUGAAUGGUGUUGCCUUGGAAUGAACGUUUUAUGAGUUCGCUCUGGUUGCUAGGGCUGAAUAACCAGCUCAUAACAACAGGCCACAUUUAUGGGGGAAAUUGGAGGAGUCACUUCAAUCCAAGCAGCCCAGACUAGUUCAGACCAGAGGCCGAAAGAGAAAGAGUAAAAGUGCCGGUCCCAGGGAGGCCAACUCAGGACACCAGCCACAGAAGCCAAAAUGUCCAGGAGAUAGGACUUAUUCCAAGACACACUUCACUCAUGUGCUCAUGAGGACCUUCAGUGGUUCACUGUGCUGGGGAAAGUGAAUGACUCCUGACUGUGUUCGCCCUGGUGAUCUUUCCCUUUUUGGGUCAGAUGGUUCUCUUCAGUUUAAUGAUCUUCCAUCUGCUGACCAGCCUGCUAAGCUCUGAAGAAGAAAUUUCAACUAACAUCAGACCAAUUCUCAUCUGCCACUCUCCCCCAGUGCAGCAGGGCCUGCAAUGACAUGUACCAUUUCACCAAGCCUUGCCUGUGGCCCACCAGCAGCAUCCAUGCAGGGCAAAGCUUGAUUCAGAAGAAUAAAGCUCAUGGAUGAAACUGGGGGGACAUUAUAUUAGAAGAAAAUAAGCCAGGAACACAAAGUCAAACACCGCGUGUUCUGACUCAUAUGUGGAAACUUUAAGUUGAUGUUGGCCAAGCAUGGUGGCUCACGCCUAUAAUCCCAGCACUUUCGGAGGCUGAGGCGGGUGGAUCACCUGAGGUCAGGAGUUUGAGAUGAGCCUGGCCAACAUGGUGAAAACCGCUCUGUACUAAAAAUACAAAAAUUAGCCAGGCAUGGUGGCAGAUGCCUGCAAUCCCAGCUACUUGGGAGUCUAAGGAAGGAGAAUCACUUGAACCCAGAAGGCGGAGGUUGCAGUGAGCCAAGAUUACUCCAUUGCCCUCCAGCCAGGGCGACAAGAGCGAAACUUCGGGAAAAAAAAAAAGAAGAAGAAGAAGAAAGAAAAAAAAGUUUAUGUCAUAGAGGCAAAUAGUAAAACAGGAUAUGAAAGGCUGAAAAGGGUGGAGGAGGGAGAGGAUAGGACAAGAUUUGUUAAAAGACACAAAAUUACAGCUAGAUAGGAGGAAUAAGUUCUAGUGUUCUGUACCACAGCAGGAUGAGCAUAGUUAAUAAUAUAUUAAAUAGUUUAAAUAGCCAGGAGGAUAUUGAGUAUUGAAGGAGGAUAUGGAAUGAACAAAGAAAUGACAAAUUCUUUAAAUGAUGAAUAUACUAAUGACCCAGAUCUGAUCACUAUACACUAUAUAUGUAUCACAAUAUCACUAUGUACCCCAUGAAUAUGUACAAUUAUUAUGUGUUAAUUUUAAAAAUUAAAUGUAAUUUAAGUAUAUAUAGUAUAUAUAUAAAACAAACUUGGAAAC